rnacentral:lncRNA from 1 species
CUCGGUGUCGACUGGUCUUAUUCGACGUGUCGACGCGCCGCUCGGUCUGAUAAUUCUCAAAUCGCAACCCUCGCCUAGCGGCCGGCCUGGCCGACUUGAUUCGAGGCCGAGGCCGGAUUUAUAUAGAACCCCGCGGCCCGCGAAGCAAUCGCACUUGUGCACGCGCCAGCGUCCCACCCGAGCCCCGUCUCGAGGUAGCAGGCUUCUAUCACACGCAUUUGCGAGUGAUUUAGCGUCCCGCGCAACCUAGCGUCGGCCACAAAGCGAGUCAGCGGCGGUUGUUCCGUCCCGUCCGUCUCGGAUCAAUUCUCGCCGAACUUUACGUUCGUCAAUCAGCAUCGGAGGAUGAUGGCAGACGACAAGUCCAACCCCACCUUCGUGAUCAUCGGCAUCGUCGUCGCGAUCGUGGCAAUCUUCUUCAUCGGUAACAUUGUCGCGUGAGUACUUACCCGGACGACAUUCUUUUCGCCAAUCAGCCGGGCAGCCGUCGCGUACCCCGAUCCCGAACGCGUAAAAUUGGACGAUGACAUAAUUUGACGAAAUUCCUCCCAAACUCCCGUUUCACCACCAGGUACCAAUACGCGCAGAAGAUGUUCCCGCCCAAGCCCAAGAAGAAGAUGGGCGCCAAGAAGACCAAGAGGAUGCUGCUCAAGCGCGGCGUGCAGCCCGCCGGGGAGUAGACUAACCGCUCGUAAUUUCGACAAGACUAUCUCUCCGUAAACGCGUCGGGUCUCGCUGGACGUCUCACUUGACAUCCUCGAGCAUCCACGGGCUCGUCAGCGG